UACGAAGGGUGCAAGCGUUACUCGGAAUUACUGGGCGUAACGCGUGCGUAGGCGGUUUGUUCAGUCCGCUGCGAAAGCCCUGGGCUCAACCUGGGAAUUGCAGUGGAUACUGGCAAGCUAGAGUGCGGUAGAGGAUGGUGGAAUUCCCGGUGUAGCGGUGAAAUGCGUAGAGAUCGGGAGGAACACCCGUGGCGAAGGCGGCCAUCUGGACCAGCACUGACGCUGAGGCACGAAAGCGUGGGGAGCAAACAGG
rnacentral:rRNA from 1 species